rnacentral:misc_RNA from 1 species
AACUAUUAACGGUGGAUCACUCGGCUCAUAGAUCGAUGAAGAAGGCAGCUAGCUGCCAUAAGCGGUGUGAAUUGCAGGACACACUGAACACUAGAUUUUCGAACGCACAUUGCACCUUCGGGUCUUUCCCGAAGGUACGCCUGUCUGAGGGUCGGAAUAAAAUUGACUCAUAAAACGUGUGAAGGCUUGUAUCGAGAGAUAAGCACAUUAUGUUGCUAUACUUUCGUCGAGCAUGAGACGUUUAGCGCAAGAAACUAGUCGGUACUUGUUGCUUGUCAUGUACGGCAUAAAAGUGGCUAAAAGCGCGCAACACCACAUGUUGCCGCUUCACUUUCAGCCCUUGAGUUACAUGAUGAGUUUGAGUACUAACGCUACUUCUCGCUGAAUCAAUCAUUGGUAAUCAUUAGUAAUUACCUCCCAUUCUAACCGUCGACCUCAGAUCAGACGAGAUUACCCACUGAAUUUAAGCAUAUAAAUAAGUGGAGGAAAAGAAACCAAAAGGGAUUCCCUGAGUAAUGGCGAACGAAAGGGGAAAAGCUCAGCGCUAAGUCCUACCGUCUACUGGCGUGUAGGAGAUGCAGCGUGAAUGUAGCAGUGCAUCCCGAGUGUCGGUCAGUGCAAGUUCCUUUGAAAAGGGCUUUUCCAAAGUGGGUGCUAGACCCAUAGCGCGGACGUCUUGUACACUUGGGCAAACUGUUGCAUACUAGAGUCAGGUUGCUUGAGAGUGCAGCCUAAAGCAGGUGGUAAACUUCACCUAAGGCUAAAUAUUACUAUGAGACCGAUAGCAAACAAGUACCGUGAGGGAAAGUUGCAAAGAACUUUGAAGAGAGAGUUCAAAAGGACGUGAAACCGUUAGUAGGUAAACGGGUGGAACCACGAAGUGAGCUUGGAAAAGAGGAUUCAACUGUCCCGAGUGAGACAGUUGCUGGCGUGAUAUGUGGCUCUCACGGGAGUGCAGACGUCGGUGACAGUACGUUUCUCUCGGGUGGUGCAUUUUCUCAGUUUCCCUGCGAGGCCAUGACUAGUUGGAUGGCUGGAGCGACCGUAUGCGAGAGCUGGUUGAAGGUGCCUGGCUGGAUACUUGUGUCCUGUCCAGUGUUAUAGCUUCCAUCUCGGCGUCUGCUUCGAGCGUACCGACUAGGGAAAACUUCCCGUUUAUGCGGGGUCUGCUAGUAAAGCGCGUUGUCUGGCUGUAGCUGUGGUGAGUGCUGCUCGAUGGGUUAGAUUUUGGUUUAUGCCAGAAUCUGCUCUCUUGAAGUCCGCCAAUGCUGGUUGCGGUUCAGGCAGCGUGUGGCAAUCGAUGGCUAGUAGGUCGGUAUCCACCUGACCCGUCUUGAAACACGGACCAAGGAGUCUAACAUGCCUGCGAGUCACUCAGUCUUGAAUAGGCUCGAGAGGCGCAAUGAAAGUAAAGUUGAUUGAUGGUGAUUCCGGUGCAUUGCCGUGUAAGCGGCGGUGCUUGGACGCAACCAUGGCCGGCUCAUUUUGCUUUUUGACAAUUGAGCUGAGUUAUAGCGUACACGUUGGUACCCGAAAGAUGGUGAACUAUGCCUGGGCAAGACGAAGCCAGAGGAAACUCUGGUGGAGGUCUGUAGCGAUUCUGACGUGCAAAUCGAUCGUCAGACCUGGGUAUAGGGGCGAAAGACUAAUCGAACCAUCUAGUAGCUGGUUCCCUC